rnacentral:lncRNA from 10 species
UGUGGGUAUCGGGGGAGGAGACUAAAGUUGGUGAUGGGGAUUGGGGGGAUGGGGAUUCUGCCUAAUUAUUUCUAAGCUUCUGACAGCACCCUAAAGCACAAAGACAAACUUCUCUUUCACAAUUAUUUUCUGAGGAUUAAUGCCAGAAAAGAAGCCCCCAAGGGUAAAGGGAGCUCUCAUUCCACUUCUUCUAUCAACAAUGCCCUCUUUGUCUCUCUCCUUCCCACCAGACAAGACCAGCCUCCUCCCACAGCCAUACGUUGACAACACGUGCCAAGGCCUGGGGCAACAGGGUACCCAGGGUGAAGGGCUCACCCAAGAGUAGGGAGCGAAGAGAAAUGUGGAAGCUCAGCACCUCUGUGCCCCAAGAACGAUGAUGAAGUGGCGUCAUUUGUCUGGAGUAAUACCCAAGAUUCAUUGCCUCACGCCAAGGAAAUCAAGAAGACUGUGAGAACUACACGGAACCCUAAGGAGCUACUAAUCCAGCUGACACACGUGGAAACUGACUCAGACUAAGUGAUACAUACAGGCCAUAUGGACUACCAGACACAGGGCAAGACUAGAUGCUGGUUCCUCAGACCAGGUGAAGUGCUGAUACCAAGGCAUGCAAUAAGGGGUAAAGGGUGGAAUUAGAGAACAAAAUGCUGAGAAUCUGGCUCCAGGAAGAGAGAUAAGAAGGUAGCCUGGACUGUCUCCUAAGCAGGAGUGAUUAAAGCACGGGGAACUGGGAAAGAAGAAGUUAUGAGUUACAGGGAUGAUGGGCACUAGGUAUUUACAGUAGACGGGAUUUAUUAAGUACUGUGUACCAGGUGCAUGUUAUUUCUUUUAUUUUACCUUAAUUGUUUUAGAAACAGGGUCUCACUCUGUUGCCCAGGCUGGAAUGUGAUGAUGCAGUACAGCUCACCGUGAUCUCAAACUCCUGGACUCAAGCAAUCCUCCCACCUCACCCUGAGUAUCUGGGACUACAGGCAUGCGCCACCACACCUGACUAAUUUUUUUAAAUUAUUUUUUGUAGAGUCAGGGUCAUUAAUCAUAAUGCUCACUAUAUUGGGUAAAAUCCUUAUUAGGAGUUACUCUUUUAAAAAAUCAGAUGGAGGAGGUUGAAGCUCUAAGCCCAGGUUGCACUGAUCUCAGAAAGUGGGAUUCAAGGAGAGGAAAACAAUGGAGAAUUAUUACAAAUGGAUGGUAGGGAUGGGGACACCAGGAAUUUGGGAUGAGGAUGCUAAAAGUAAGAUAAAUGAUGGCCAGGCACAGUGGCUCACUCCUGUAAUCCCAGCGCUUUAGGAGGCCAAGGUGGGCAGAUCACCUGAGGUCAGAAGUUCGAGACCAGCCUGACCAACAUGGAGAAACCCCAACUCUACUAAAAAUACAAAAUUAGCCGGGUGUGGUGGCGCAUCCCUGAAAUUGUGGCUGCUCGGGAAGCUGAGGCAGGAGAAUGGCUUGAACCCAGGAGGCGAAGGUUGCAGUGAGCCAAGAUAGCACCAUUGCACUCCAGCCUGGGCAGCAAGAGUGAAACUCCAUCUCAAAAAAAAAAAAAAAAGACUAGAAGUAAGAAUUCUACAAUCAUUAGACUGGGCAGAUGAACUCUUAAGACGGGAAGAAAAGUUGCAAAACGUUAGAGCUUUAAAAUAAUUUUACUUGGUUUUGGAAUACUUAUGAAUGUCAUGUCUGGUUCUCUUACUAUUUACAAUAUAUCCAAAGAAACUGUUUACUGACUUCAGCGGCUGCAAAUCUGAUUUUUCUCUUCCAGCCCACUCAUAGGCUCCUUCUUGUGGCAAAACAUGAUAUUACUCCUAAGACUCAAACACCAACCUAAGCACAAAUAUCUGGCAAGUGAAGACAUUAAGAGUUUUGUUUUAUUUGCAAACUGUGCAUCUGACAAAGGUCUAAUAGCUAGCAUCUAUAAGGAACUUAAACAAAUUUAUGAGAGAAAAACAAACAACCCCAUGAAAAAGUGGGCAAAGGAGAGGAACAGACAGUUCCCAAAAGAAGACAUACAGGCGGCCAACAGACAUAUGAAAAAACUCAACAUCACUGGUCAUUAGGGAAAUGCAAAUCAAAACCACAAUGAGAUACCAUCUCAUACCAGUCAGAAUGGCUAUUAUUAAAAAGUCAAAAAAUGACAGAUGCUGGCAAGGUUGCAGAGAAAAGGGAACAUUUUCACAUUGUUGCUGGGAAUGUAAAUUAGUUCAAUCAUUGUGGGAAGCAAUAUGGCGAUUCCUCAAAGAGCUAAAAGCAGAACUACCAUUCGACCCAGCAAUCCCAUUACUGAGUAUAUACCCAGAGGAACAUAAAGCAUUCUACCAUAAAGACACAUGGGCCAGGCGUGGUAGCUCAUGCCUGUAAUCCCAGCACUUUGGGAUGCCAAGGCAGGCAGAUCACCUGAGGUCAGGAGUUCAAGACCAGCCUGGCCAACAUGAUGAAACCCUGGGCUCUACUAAAAAUACAAAAGUUAGCUGGGCACAGUGGCUCACACCUGUAAUCCCAGCUACUCAGGAGGCCCAGGCAGGAGAAUCAUUUAAACCCAGGUGGCAGAGGUUGUAGUGAGCCAAGAUUGCACCACUGUACUCCAGCCCGGGUGACAGAGCUAGACUCCGUCUCCAAAAAAAAAAAAAACAAAGACACAUCCACAUGAGUGUUCAUUGCAGCACUAUUUACAAUACUGAAGUGCCGAGACCAGCUCGGUUGGGGAGACCCUAACCCAGCGGCGCUAGAGGAGUUAAAGAUGCACACACAGAAAUAUAGAGGUGUGAAGUGGGAAAUCAGGGGUCUCACAGCCUUCAGAACUGAGAGCCCCAAACAGAGAUUUACCCACAUAUUUAGUAACAGCAAACCAGUUAUUAUCAUUGUUUCUGUAGAUAUUAAAUUAACUAAAAGUAUCCAUUAUGAGAAACAAAGGGAUGGGCCAAAUUAAAGGAAUAGGUUGGGCUAGUUAACUGCAGCAGGAACACGUCCUUAAGACACAGAUCGCUCAUGCUAUUGUUUGCAGCUUGAGAAUGCGUUUAAGCGGUUUUCCGCCCUGGGCAGGCCAAGUGUUCCUUGCCCUCAUUCCUUCAUUCCUGUAAACCCACAACCUUCCAGCUUGGGCGUUAGGGCCAUUAUGAACAUGUUACAGUGCUGCAGAGAUUUUGUUUAUGACCAGUCUUGGGGCCAGAUUAUGGCCAGAUUUUGGGGGGCUUGCUCCCAACAGUGAAGACAUGGAACCAACUUAAAUGCCCAUCAGUGACAGAUUGGCUAAAGAAACUGUGGUACAUAUACACCAUGAAAUAUUAUGCAGCCAUAAAAAAGAACAAGAUCAUGUCUUUUGAGGGAAUAUGGAUGAAGCUGGAGUCUAUAAUCCUUAGCAAACUAAUGCAGCAACAGAACACCAAAUACCACACGUUCUCACUUAUAAGUGGGAGCUAAAUGAUGAGAACUUAUGAACACAAAGAAGGAAACAACAGACACUGGGGUCUGCUUGAGGGUGGGAGGAGGGAGAGGAGCAGAAAAGACAACUGUUGGGUACUGGGCUUAAUACCUGGGUGAUGAAAUAAUAUAUACAACAAACCACGAUGACACAUGUUUACCUAUGUAACAAAUCUUCACACGUACCCCCAAACCUAAAAUAAAAGUUUUAAAAAAGAGUUUUGUUUUCAAAAUCCUUUCUUCCUAGGAGGUUGCAAAUUUUACUGAAUAAGAAUAACCAGGGAUGGGGCCUGGCACGGUGGCUCAUGCCUGUAAUCCCAGCACUUUGGGAGGCUGAGGCAGGUGGAUCACCUGAGGUCAGGAGUUCGUGACCAGCCUGACCAGCAUGGAGAAACCCUGUCUCUACAAAAAAUACAAAAGUUAGCAGGGCAUGGUGGCACAUGCCUGCAAUCCCAGCUACUCAGGAGGCUGAGACAGGAGAAUCACUUGAACCCAAGAGACGAAGGUUGCAGUGAGCCGAGAUUGCAUCAUUGCACUCCAGCCUGGGUGACAGAGCGAGACUCUAUCUAAAAAAAAAAAAAAAAAAAAGUAGUUCCUUGGAAGUUAAAGGUUAAGCUUAAGGACUGAUUCAAAGGCAGGUGCAAAAAAUAAACCCUCUUUUGUAACCCAGAACUCAUUUUUCAGUAUGAGUUUUGAUACAUAUAAGAAGGAAAGCUAGGCAUGGUGGCUCACACCUGUAAACCUAGCACUUUGGGAGGCCGAGGCGGGUGGAUCACGAGGUCAGGAGAUCGAGACCAUCCUGGUUAACAUGGUGAAACCCCGGCACUACUAAAAAUACAAAAAAUUAGCCGGGGGUCGUGGCGGGUGCCUGUAGUCCCAGCUACUCGGGAGGCUGAGGCAGGAGAAUGGCGUGAACCCAGGAGGUGGAGCUUGCAAUGAGCCGAGAUUGCGCCACUGCACUCCAGCCUGGGUGACAGUGAGAGGCUCCGUCUCAAAAAAAAAAAAAAAAGAAGGAAUAUGAUACCUGAGAUAGUUUAAAAUAAUGGAGGUAUUGAUAACCAUAAAGGUUGGUUCCAGGACUGUAGGGUUGAUCAUUUAAAAGCAUAGGACAUAAGGAAAAUCUCAGCUAUGUUGAUUUAGUAUUCCAUUGGAGGUGGAGCUUGCAAUGAGCCGAGAUUGCGCCCCUGCACUCCAGCCUGGGUGACAGUGAGAGGCUCCGUCUCAAAAAAAAAAAAAAAAAGAAGGAAUAUGAUACCUGAGAUAGUUUAAAAUAAUGGAGGUAUUGAUAACCAUAAAGGUUGGUUCCAGGACUGUAGGGUUGAUCAUUUAAAAGCAUAGGACAUAAGGAAAAUCUCAGCUAUGUUGAUUUAGUAUUCCAUUGGAGGUGGAGCUUGCAAUGAGCCGAGAUUGCGCCACUGCACUCCAGCCUGGGUGACAGUGAGAGGCUCCGUCUCAAAAAAAAAAAAAAAAGAAGGAAUAUGAUACCUGAGAUAGUUUAAAAUAAUGGAGGUAUUGAUAACCAUAAAGGUUGGUUCCAGGACUGUAGGGUUGAUCAUUUAAAAGCAUAGGACAUAAGGAAAAUCUCAGCUAUGUUGGUUUAGUAUUCCAUUGUCAUGCUUACAUGAUAUGUCAAGACAGCUUUUCUUAAAGGCUUUUACCUUGAGAACAUGAUUCCUAGAGUUGUAAUGGCAUAUCCCACAGAUUUGUACUAUGCUUGAGUGUGAUUCCUCAGGAACGAAUAUGAUUUGAACUCAUUCACGUUUAGAGAGGGUGUCAAGUUGAAAACCAGGCAGAUUCACUUACCCUAAAAAUGACUCUAAAGUAAAAUGAUUGAAGAAAUUAGAUUCCAAAGAUUCUGGGUGGAAAUUCUGAAGUAUAUUUACAUUCAUGUGGACAUAAAAGAGGCCAAAAUUCAAGAACUGUGGGCUGACAGGAGAGCUGUGGAUUAAGCACCAGUUCUAUUAAAAGGGAGGCUGGGCACAGUGGCUCACACUUUUAAUCCCAGUGAUUCAGGAGGCUGAGGUGGGAGGAUGGCUUGAACCCAGGAGUUCGAGACCAGCCUGGGCAAUAUAGCAAGACCCCAUUACAGGUAUGAGCCACUGCACCUGGCCUCAUCUUUUAAUUAGCAUAAAGCCCUUAGUUCCUACAGCUUUGCUCCACAAGAGUGAAGUCAACGCUGAGCCUCAGCAGGACAUCUCUUCCCACUGUGGGCCCCGAAGCUUAGUGAAGCUAACUUGCUGGCCUCUGGAGAACCAAAAUCUGUGUCUAGAAAUGGUUCCAGCAACUUCUCCACACCCCAUGAUGAAAUAGAUUACUGGGCUUUUUCCUGAUGUGAUGCAAGAUCAAAUACACUUUGCAUAAUUCAGAUUUUAGACUACACCAGCCAAAACCACAAGGACACUGUGCUACUGUCUUGAGUUGGUGACUCUCUUUUCAUUCUACCUAAUCACCCUGUGGCCCUGGGUGACAGCCAGCCUCUCUCCAGCCAAGAAGAUCAUGACUACAGUUGUGUAGUAUUUGGUUCAUAAAAGAUCUGAACAGGAAAUUCAGGCCAUUGCAGGCUGGAGUGCAGUGGCGAAAUCAUAGCUCACUGCAGCCUCGAACUCCUGAGCUCAAGCAAUCCUUCCUCCUUAGCCUACUCGGUAGCAAGGACUACAGGCAUGCACCACUAUGCCUGGCUC